AUUGAACGCUGGCGGCAUGCCUUACACAUGCAAGUCGAACGGUAACGCGGGGCAACCUGGCGACGCGUGGCGAACGGGUGAGUAAUGCAUCGGAACGUGCCCAGUAGGGGGGGAUAGCCCGGCGAAAGCCGGAGUAAUACCGCAUACGACCUCAGGGUGAAAGCGGGGGAACGCAAGACCUCGCGCUAUUGGAGCGGCCGAUGUCGGAUUAGCUAGUUGGUGGGGUAAAAGCCUACCAAGGCGACGAUCCGUAGCUGGUCUGAGAGGACGACCAGCCACACUGGGACUGAGACACGGCCCAGACUCCUACGGGAGGCAGCAGUGGGGAAUUUUGGACAAUGGGCGCAAGCCUGAUCCAGCCAUGCCGCGUGCGGGAAGAAGGCCUUCGGGUUGUAAACCGCUUUUGUCAGGGAAGAAACGGUCUGAGCUAAUACCUCGGACUAAUGACGGUACCUGAAGAAUAAGCACCGGCUAACUACGUGCCAGCCGCCGCGGUAACAC
rnacentral:rRNA from 1 species